rnacentral:rRNA from 1 species
GCGAUCAAACCAGCACUAAUGCACCGGAUCCCAUCAGAACUCCGCAGUUAAGCAUGCUUGGGCGAGAGUAGUACUAGGAUGGGUGACCUCCUGGGAAGUCCUCGUUUUGCACCCC